rnacentral:rRNA from 1 species
GCAUAUCAAUAAGCGGAGGAAAAGAAACCAACAGGGAUUGCCCUAGUAACGGCGAGUGAAGCGGCRACAGCUCAAAUUUGAAAUCUGGCUUCGGCCCGAGUUGUAAUUUGCAGAGGAUGUUUCUGGCGCGGUGCCUUCCGAGUUCCCUGGAACGGGACGCCACAGAGGGUGAGAGCCCCGUAUGGUUGGACACCAAGCCUGUGUGAAACUCCUUCGACGAGUCGAGUAGUUUGGGAAUGCUGCUCAAAAUGGGAGGUAAAUCUCUUCUAAAGCUAAAUACCGGCCAGAGACCGAUAGCGCACAAGUAGAGUGAUCGAAAGAUGAAAAGCACCUUGAAAAGGGGGUUAAACAGUACGUGAAAUUGUUGAAAGGGAAGCGCUUGUGACCAGACUUGCGCCGGGCGGUUCAUCCGGGGUUCUCCCCGGUGCACUCCGCCCGGCUCAGGCCAGCAUCGGUUUUCGUUGGGGGAUAAGAACGGCAGGAACGUGGCCCUCCUUCGGGUGGGUGUUAUAGCCUGCCGUACGAUACCCUGACGGGGACCGAGGUUCGCGCUCCGCAAGGAUGCUGGCGUAAUGGUCAUCAGCGACCCGUCUUGAAACACGGACCAAGGAGUCGUCCAUUAGAGCGAGCGUUUGGGUGUCAAACCCGCACGCGUAAUGAAAGUGAAAUUAGGUGAGAGCUUCGGCGCAUCAUCGACCGAUCCUGAUGUUCUCGGAUGGAUUUGAGUAAGAGUUUUAACGGACGGACCCGAAAGACAGUGAACUAUGCUUGUAUAGGGUGAAGCCAGAGGAAACUCUGGUGGAGGCUCGCAGCGGUUCUGACGUGCAAAUCGAUCGUCAAAUAUGAGCAUGGGGGCGAAAGACUAAUCGAACUGUCUAGUAGCUGGUUACCGCCGAA